rnacentral:rRNA from 1 species
UACAGAGGUCUCAACCGUUGUUCGGAUUCAUUGGGCGUAAAGGGUGCGUAGGCGGCGGGGUAAGUCAGGUGUGAAAUCUCGGGGCUCAACCCCGAAACUGCACUUGAUACUGCCUCGCUUGAGUACUGGAGAGGAGACUGGAAUUUACGGUGUAGCAGUGAAAUGCGCAGAUAUCAGGAGGAACACCGGUGGCGAAGGCGGGUCUCUGGGCCGAUACUGACGCUGAGGAGCGAAAGCGUGGGGAGCGAACAGG